rnacentral:rRNA from 1 species
CUACGGGGUGCAGCAGUGAGGAAUAUUGCACAAUGGGGGGAACCCUGAUGCAGCAACGCCGCGUGGAGGAUGACGCAUUUCGGUGUGUAAACUCCUUUUAUAUGUCAAGAAAAUGACGGUAGCAUAUGAAUAAGCACCGGCUAACUCCGUGACAGCAGCCGCGUGUAAUACGGAGGGUGCAAGCGUUACUCGGAAUCACUGGGCGUAAAGGACGCGUAGGCGGGUUGGAAAGUCAGGUGUGAAAUCCUACAGCUUAACUGUAGAACUGCACUUGAAACUUCUAAUCUAGAGUAUGGGAGGGGGAGAUGGAAUUAGUGGUGUAGGGGUAAAAUCCGUAGAUAUCACUAGGAAUACCUAAAGCGAAGGCGAUCUCCUGGAACAUUACUGACGCUAAGGCGUGAAAGCGUGGGGAGCAAACAGGAUUAGAUACCCGGGUAGUC